rnacentral:rRNA from 1 species
CGAACGAACGCUGGCGGCGCGUUUUAAGCAUGCAAGUCGAGCGGUGCAGUUUGAAGCUUCGGUGGAAAGCUGCAUAGCGGCGGACGGGUGAGGAAAACGUAGGAACGUGCCCCUUGGAGUUGGAUAGCCACGGGAAACUGUGGGUAAACCGACAUAGACUCGAGAGAGUAAAGGCCGAAAGGCGCCAAGGGAGCGGCCUGCGGCCCAUCAGGUAGUUGGUAGUGUAAAGGACUACCAAGCCGACGACGGGUAGCCGGUCUGAGAGGAUGGCCGGCCACAAGGGCACUGAGAGACGGGCCCUACUCCUACGGGAGGCAGCAGUGGGGGAUUUUGGACAAUGGGCGAAAGCCUGAUCCAGCGACGCCGCGUGGAGGACGAAGCCCUUCGGGGUGUAAACUCCUUUUCUCAGGGAAAAAGGAUGAUGGUACCUGAGGAAUAAGCCCCGGCUAACUACGUG